UACGUAGGGGGCUAGCGUUGUCCGGAUUUAUUGGGCGUAAAGAGCGUGUAGGCGGCCAGGUAGGUCUGCUGUGAAAACUCGAGGCUCAACCUCGAGACGUCGGCGGAACCCAUCUGGCUAGAGUCCGGAAGAGGAGAGUGGAAUUCCUGGUGUAGCGGUGAAAUGCGUAGAGAUGUGGAGGAACACCAAUGGCGAAGGCAGCCUUCUGGGCCAACACGUGACGCUCAUGCACGAAAGCGUGGGGAGCAAACAGG
rnacentral:rRNA from 1 species